GACGAACGCUGGCGGCGUGCCUAAUACAUGCAAGUAGAACGCUGAAGGAGGAGCUUGCUUCUCUGGAUGAGUUGCGAACGGGUGAGUAACGCGUAGGUAACCUGCCUGGUAGCGGGGGAUAACUAUUGGAAACGAUAGCUAAUACCGCAUAAGAGUAGAUGUCGCAUGACAUUUGCUUAAAAGGUGCAAUUGCAUCACUACCAGAUGGACCUGCGUUGUAUUAGGUAGUUGGUGAGGUAACGGCUCACCAAGGCAACGAUACAUAGCCGACCUGAGAGGGUGAUCAGCCACACUGGGACUGAGACACGGCCCAGACUCCUACGGGAGGCAGCAGUAGGGAAUCUUCGGCAAUGGACGGAAGUCUGACCGAGCAACGCGGCGUGAGUAAAGAAGGUUUUCGGAUCGUAAAGCUCUGUUGUAAGAGAAGAACGAGUGUGAGAGUGGAAAGUUCACACUGUGACGGUAACUUACCAGAAAGGGACGGCUAACUACGUG
rnacentral:rRNA from 1 species